CUAGCAUGUGUGCUAAUUUGUAUACUGUCGUCUAGUCUGGGUCUUUGGAGACUGCCCGGUGACCCCCGCCCAGGGAGCAACGGGUCCACGUUCCCGCAAACACGGACGGAUCUCGGGACCUUUUUUGCGACUCCCACUGAAGUGCAAAGAAACUGAAGUGUUCGUCACAAGCGCGACAUUCAUCCUUCAUUUGCGGUCCUCUUCUUUUUCUUUUCUUUACAACGUUGAGUUCAACCCCGAGUCGUCACCGACUGGAGAGUCCCUUUGGAGGAUUCAAAGACCGGCAAGUGCCUAUUUCUGUGGAAACCUGCGCAGAUGCGACGGGAAUGCGGACGCGGGAGACACAAAGUCGCUUUCCCACGUGAGGGUUCAAGCGACGGGAACGGAGACGGAAUGAAGAAGGAAGCGCAGCAUUCGAUUUGGGACGUUUGUGGUUGUUAUGAAAGAAGCGAGAGGAAAAGGAAGGCGGGGAGAUAACUUGGCAGCGGGGGCUGAGACAAGUGCAGGCGGGGGGAAGGCUCCCAGUGGAAGAUCGCCACUCAAGCCCCCGUGAGCAGUCCAGACAGGAAGCCAGGUGGCGCUCUUUUUGACAGGAUGACAGUGAACCUUUUUCGUGCUUUCUUGCACGACAGUACGUUACGCCACAACUGAGCUCCAGCGUAGACGAGGGAGGGAAGGCCCCCUGCUAAACUUCAGCAUUGCUGUCGUAAUUCAUACACACCAGAGGGAAUAUUGACCAAUGAGUAUUCUUCUACCCUCUGUUUGUAUGCGUUGUUGCGCCGUCUUAAAGUUCUUUCAGUCAACAUCAAUGCUGAUUUCUGUACCAAGUAUCUUGAAACUUUUGUAGGUCUAUGAACGGUUUUGGUUUUCCAUCUUGUGAAGGGCUCUCCCUUUGCCAUCAAAUCAGCAGUUUUCUUAUUCUGCAUGCAUUCAAAAUCAAAUGUAAAAAAAAACCCAAAAAAACAAAAAAGAAGAGAGAAAAUCAAAGGUCCAAGAUUCGGCAAAAAUAAAAACGGGGGUUGGACGUAUUCCCACGCGUCAACCAGUUACUCAUUUUCACCCCAUGUGUCACAAUACUCUGAGCGGGACGCCGGGCCUUAAAAAACACCAGAUUCUGCCCUCGGUUUGAAUUGAAUACGAGGAAGUCGAGGCUCGCGUGCACGCGAGCUAUCAGCAGAGCCUUGGCGCAGGAAGCGCCGACGUCACGGCACAAGUCGGAGGACAAUGCGGCAUUCGGACAGGAAGCGGAGCGCUCGGCCGACCUUCGCCUGGACCGCGACGGUUCUCGGCGACGUGAUUUCUGUCCCGCAAGCCAAAAGUCUGCAAUGGAUCACUGACAUUGGGCGGAGCGUCUUGACACGCUUGGGAACGUGCACACGUUUCGCUUGUUGGACCCUGGAAACUCUACAAAGGCUAACUCCAGAUUCCAAGGGUAUGAUGGCUCGGUACCGAUGGCUUUCAUGUGUCCCUUUCACAAUCAGUUUCAGCAAGGAGUGACCCAGUGAUGUUCUACGACAGUCUUGCGUUUCUUGACAGCUUGAGAGUGAGAACAGAUGCGAGUGAACACUAGAAAAGUGUCGCGUAAGUGUGUUUAAAUGCCUUGAAAAGCGUGCGGAAGGUGGACAACUACCCCAAAAGAUUUGGACAUGGUUUCUUCUGCAGAUCUUCUCCUACCACGGCCGCAUCGACACGUCCCCAAAGUUUGCACGAGGACGCGGCAAACUUCUUCUCUAGUAACCGACAAGAAGCCACCGAAAAACGCGGAGGCAUCUUCGGGCUAACCCUUCUUCCUGCGGCCGUCCCUCUGCGCUUGUGAUGUCGCUCACGCCGUCCUCAAAAGAAAUAAAAACCAAAAAAAAAAAAAAAACGCUCGCGCUGCAUUUGCACGGCGCGGCACCGAACAGCAAAAACCGUCCUCGGCGGAGGUAAUGACACGCCGGCGCUUUGCUCCCGGCACCACUGCGCCUAAUUACAACCCCGCGGCAGUUGUGCCGGGGCCGUAAAAAGAUUUGAUAUGUAUUCAAGUCGUAAACGUUGGGGAGCCAUGUUUGGGGUCAUGUGUGUUAAGCUAAUUACAUGAUGUAGCAUCUGUCGCGUAGCCAAGCCUGCCUGCCGUGUCACUCAGUCACGACUUUGGCAACCACAACAAAAGUCUCCUACUACCAGGGAGCACCUAGCUAGUUCCUAAAAUGAUUUCAAAGUAGGAAUCCUGCUUUCGGAAUCAUUCAUCAUUCCCUACUCCCCAAUCGCAACAAAAGUCUUUUUAGUAAACGGCACACUCGGCAGAGAAAUGAAAAAUUGCUGGUGAACGCUACCCGAGCGCCGUUAAUGACGUCACAGCUGUCGCAAAAUUACAACGUGCUGCAUCAAAGUUAGCUCGUGGGACGUCUGCUGGAAACAUCCAACAAAAAAAUUCACGUGUCUGAUCUUUCACAGCCCCCAAAAUGUUGUCUCGGGGGACAACUCAAGCACCGAACAUAGCCAAGGAAAGAAAACCUUUGUCAUCAACCACGGUCGCUCAUUAUUCAUCGGCGAUAGCUAGCGAGAUGUACCGAGACUUUGGCCGAACAUUCUGCCGCUCCACGGUCGAGCGGUUGGCUGUAAAUUGGCCGAGCGGCAGACGACAUCCAACAAACGCGCGACUAGAAGUCGGGCGUCCCGCAU